rnacentral:rRNA from 1 species
CCUACGGGAGGCUGCAGUGAGGAAUAUUGGUCAAUGGGCGAGAGCCUGAACCAGCCAAGUCGCGUGAGGGACGACGGUCCUAUGGAUUGUAACCCUCUUUUGUCGGGGAACAAAGGCGCCCACGGGUGGGCGGAUGAGUGUACCCGAAGAAAAAGCAUCGGCUAACUCCGUGCCAGCAGCCGCGGUAAUACGGAGGAUGCAAGCGUUAUCCGGAUUUAUUGGGUUUAAGGGGUGCAUAGGCGGACAGUCAAGUCAGCGGUAAAAAUGCGGUGCUCAACGCCGUACAGUCGUUGAAACUGGCAGUCUGGAGGGGGCGAGAAGGAUGCGGAAUGCGUGGUGUAGCGGUGAAAUGCAUAGAUAUCACGCAGAACUCCGAUGGCGAAGGCAGCAUACCGGCGCCCUACUGACGCUGAGGCACGAAAGCGUGGGUAUCGAACAGGAUUAGAUACCCGGGUAGUC